rnacentral:ncRNA from 2 species
AACUGAAUAACGGGGUGCUGAGUGUGCUCGGCUGAGAUACGGCGGAUUGACGGCGUAAACCCUUGACCUGAUCUGGAUAAUGCCAGCGUAGGAAAUGGUGGGAGCACUCUG